GAUGAACGCUAGCUACAGGCUUAACACAUGCAAGUCGAGGGGUAACGAGAGGAAAGCUUGCUUUCCUUGUCGACGACCGGCGCACGGGUGAGUAAUGCGUAUCCAACCUGCCCCUAACUAAGAAAUAACCUUGCGAAAGUAAGACUAAUACCUUAUAAUUUCCUCAGAUGUCAUCUGACGAGGAAUAAAGAUUUAUCGGUUGUGGAUGGGGAUGCGUCUGAUUAGCGUGUUGGCGGGGUAACGGCCCACCAAGGCAACGAUCAGUAGGGGUUCUGAGAGGAAGGUCCCCCACAUUGGAACUGAGACACGGUCCAAACUCCUACGGGAGGCAGCAGUGAGGAAUAUUGGUCAAUGGGCGGAAGCCUGAACCAGCCAAGUAGCGUGCAGGAUGACGACCCUAUGGGUUGUAAACUGCUUUUAUACAGGAAUAAAGUUAGCCACGUGUGGUUAUUUGUAGGUACUGUAUGAAUAAGGACCGGCUAAUUCCGUGCCAGCCGCCGCCUAA
rnacentral:rRNA from 1 species